CUGUGAGCUCGAUGAGUAGGGCGGGACACGUGGUAUCCUGUCUGAAUAUGGGGGGACCAUCCUCCAAGGCUAAAUACUCCUGACUGACCGAUAGUGAACCAGUACCGUGAGGGAAAGGCGAAAAGAACCCCGGCGAGGGGAGUGAAAAAGAACCUGAAACCGUGUACGUACAAGCAGUGGGAGCACAGAGCAAUCUGUGUGACUGCGUACCUUUUGUAUAAUGGGUCAGCGACUUAUAUUCUGUAGCAAGGUUAACCGAAUAGGGGAGCCGAAGGGAAACCGAGUCUUAACUGGGCGUUAAGUUGCAGGGUAUAGACCCGAAACCCGGUGAUCUAGCCAUGGGCAGGUUGAAGGUUGGGUAACACUAACUGGAGGACCGAACCGACUAAUGUUGAAAAAUUAGCGGAUGACUUGUGGCUGGGGGUGAAAGGCCAAUCAAACCGGGAGAUAGCUGGUUCUCCCCGAAAGCUAUUUAGGUAGCGCCUCGUGAAUUCAUCUCCGGGGGUAGAGCACUGUUUCGGCAAGGGGGUCAUCCCGACUUACCAACCCGAUGCAAACUGCGAAUACCGGAGAAUGUUAUCACGGGAGACACACGGCGGGUGCUAACGUCCGUCGUGAAGAGGGAAACAACCCAGACCGCCAGCUAAGGUCCCAAAGUCAUGGUUAAGUGGGAAACGAUGUGGGAAGGCCCAGACAGCCAGGAUGUUGGCUUAGAAGCAGCCAUCAUUUAAAGAAAGCGUAAUAGCUCACUGGUCGAGUCGGCCUGCGCGGAAGAUGUAACGGGGCUAAACCAUGCACCGAAGCUGCGGCAGCGACACUAUGUGUUGUUGGGUAGGGGAGCGUUCUGUAAGCCUGUGAAGGUGUACUGUGAGGUAUGCUGGAGGUAUCAGAAGUGCGAAUGCUGACAUAAGUAACGAUAAAGCGGGUGAAAAGCCCGCUCGCCGGAAGACC
rnacentral:rRNA from 1 species